rnacentral:rRNA from 1 species
AUUGAACGCUGGCGGCAUGCCUUACACAUGCAAGUCGAACGGCAGCAUGGAAGAGCUUGCUCUUCUGAUGGCGAGUGGCGAACGGGUGAGUAAAGCAUCGGAACGUACCGUGUAGUGGGGGAUAACGUAGCGAAAGUUACGCUAAUACCGCAUACGCACUGAGGUGGAAAAGCAGGGGAUCGCAAGACCUUGCGCUAUACGAGCGGCCGAUGUCAGAUUAGCUAGUUGGUAGGGUAAAGGCCUACCAAGGCGACGAUCUGUAGCGGGUCUGAGAGGAUGAUCCGCCACACUGGGACUGAGACACGGCCCAGACUCCUACGGGAGGCAGCAGUGGGGAAUUUUGGACAAUGGGCGAAAGCCUGAUCCAGCCAUGCCGCGUGAGUGAAGAAGGCC